GGCUGGUCAGCUUAGUUGGUUAGAGUGUGGUGCUGAUAACACCAAGGUCCAAGGUUCGAGCCCUGUACCAGCCA